rnacentral:rRNA from 1 species
GACGGGGCCCGCACAAGCGGAGGAACAUUGUGGUUUAAUUCGAUGAUACGCGAGGAACCUUACCUGGGCUUAAAUGGGAGUGACAGCUGUCGAAAGAUGGUUUUCUUCGGACACUCUUCAAGGGUGCUGCAUGGUUGUCGUCAGCUCGUGCCGUGAGGUGUCGGGUUAAGUCCCAUAACGAGCGCAACCCUUACCGUUAGUUACCAUCAGGUUAAGCUGGGGACUCUAGCGGGACUGCCACCGUAAGGUGAGAGGAAAGGUGGGGAUGACGUCAAAUCAGCACGGCCCUUAUGUCCAGGGCUACACACGUGUUACAAUGGCCAGUACAAAGGGCAGCUACCGGGUGACCGGAUGCUAAUCUCUAAAGCUGGUCUCAGUUCGGAUCGAAGUCUGCAACCCGACUUCGUGAAGCUGGAUUCGCUAGUAAUCGCGCAUCAGCCAUGGCGCGGUGAAUACGUUCCCGGGCCUU